GAUGAACGCUAGCGGCAGGCUUAAUACAUGCAAGUCAAGGGGGUAGCAAUACAACCGGCGCACGGGUGAGUAACGCGUACACAACAUACCAUAUACUGGGGUAUAGCUUUGGGAAACUGAAGGUAAUCCCCCAUAACAUUGCGAGAGGGCAUCUGAUUGCAAUUAAAGUUUCGACGGUAUAUGAUUGGUGUGCGUUUGAUUAGCUUGUUGGUAGGGUAACGGCCUACCAAGGCGACGAUCAAUAGCUGGCGUGAGAGCGCGACCAGCCACACUGGAACUGAGACACGGUCCAGACUCCUACGGGAGGCAGCAGUAGGGAAUAUUGGACAAUGGGCGAAAGCCUGAUCCAGCCAUGCCGCGUGAUAGAUGAAGGCCUCUGGUUGUAAAUAUCUUUUAUCUGGGAAGAAACCCCUCGUUUCUACGAGGCUUGACGGUACCAGAGGAAUAAGCACCGGCUAACUCCGUG
rnacentral:rRNA from 1 species